CUUCCCGCGACGAUUUCGCCGCGAUGCUCGACGAGUCCUUUGCAGGCGGCAACCUGCAGGAAAGCUCCGUCAUCAAGGGCAAGGUUGUUGCAAUUGAGAAAGACAUGGCCGUCAUCGACGUCGGCCUGAAGACCGAGGGCCGCGUGGCUCUCCGCGAAUUCAACGGCCCGGGCCGCGAGAGCGACCUCAAGGUCGGCGACGAAGUCGAGGUGUUCCUCGACCGGAUCGAAAACGCACUCGGCGAAGCCGUGCUGUCGCGCGACAAGGCGCGCCGC
rnacentral:misc_RNA from 1 species